UACGUAGGGGGCAAGCGUUGUCCGGAAUCAUUGGGCGUAAAGAGCGUGUAGGCGGUCCUGUAAGUCCGCUGUGAAAGUCAAGGGCUCAACCCUUGAAUGCCGGUGGAUACUGCAGGACUAGAGUCCGGAAGAGGCGAGUGGAAUUCCUGGUGUAGCGGUGAAAUGCGCAGAUAUCAGGAGGAACACCGAUGGCGAAGGCAGCUCGCUGGGACGGUACUGACGCUGAGGAGCGAAAGCGUGGGGAGCAAACAGG
rnacentral:rRNA from 1 species